rnacentral:rRNA from 1 species
AUUGAACGCUGGCGGCAGGCCUAACACAUGCAAGUCGAACGCGUGGCGGACGGGUGAGUAAUGUCUGGGAAACUGCCUGAUGGAGGGGGAUAACUACUGGAAACGGUAGCUAUUACCGCAUACCAUCCGAUGUGCGCAGGUGGGAUUAGCUAGUAGGUGGGGUAACGGCUUACCUAGGCGACGAUCCCUAGCUGGUCUGAGAGGGUGACCGGCCACACUGGAACUGAGACACGGUCCAGACUCCUACGGGAGGCAGCAGUGGGGAAUAUUGCACAAUGGGCGCAAGCCUGAUGCAGCCAUGCCGCGUGUAUGAAGAAGGUCUUCGGGUUGUAAAGUACUUUCAGCGGGGAGGCGUUACCCGAAGAAGAAGCACCGGCUAACUCCGUGCCAGCAGCCGCGGUAAUUC